CACUGCGAUUUUAUGAAUUGCUCAGAAGUCUUAUGGCUUGGAGGUAGAAGCUGUUGAGGAGCCUUUUGGUCCUAGACUUGGCCCUCCAGUACCGCUUGCUGUGCGGUAGCAGAGAAAACAGUCUAUAACUUGGGUGACUGGAGUCUCUGACAAUCUUAUGGGCUUUCCUCUGACAUCCCCUGUUAUAUAGGGGACGAAGUACACACCCCUGAGGGGCCCAGUGUUAAGGAUCAGCGUGGCAGACGUGUUGUUGCCAACUCUUACCACCUGGGGGCGGCCUGUCAGGAAGUCCAGGAUCCAGUUGCAGAGGGAGGUGAGUUGUUUUUUGGGUAUCUGUACUUUAUUUAUAUUUUUGACUACUUUUUACUCCAUACAUUUCCCCUAACACCCAAAAGUACUCGUUACAUUUUGAAUGCUUAGCAGGACAGGGAAAAUGUCUAAUUCACACACUUAAAGAGAAAAUCCCUGGUCAUCCCUACUGCAUCUGAUCUGGUGGACUCACUAAACACAAAUACUUUGUUUGUAAAUUAUGUCGGAGUGUUGGAGUAUGCCCCUGGUUAUCCGUAAAAUUUUAAAAAAAAUAAUAAUAAUAAUGCUGUCUGGUUUGCUUAAUAUAAGGAAUUUGAAAUGAUUUAUACUUUUGAUACUUAAGUAUAUUUGAGCAAUUACAUGUACUUUUUUAUUUUACCUUUAUUUUAACCAGGCAAGUCAGUUAAGAACAAAUUCUUAUUUUCAAUGAUGGCCUGGGAACAGUGGGUUAACUGCCUGUUCAGGGGCAGAACGACAGAUUUGUACCUUGUCAGCUCGGGAUUUGAACUCGCAACCGGUUACUAGUCCAACGCUCUAACCACUAGGCUACCCUGCCGCCCCUUUUGAUACUUAAGUAUAUUUAAAACCAAUUUGUUUUAAACAACUUUCACCAAUUUGUAAGUCGCUCUGGAUAAGAGCGUCUGCUAAAUGACUUUAAAUGUUAAAUGUUAAGUAGGAUUUUACUGGGUGACUUUCACUUUACUUGAGUCAUUUUCUAAGAUAGCUUUACUUUUACUCAAGUAUGACAAUUUGGUACUUCUUCAUGGCACUGUAUAUAUGGGCUACUUCUUUAGUUAAUUUGAGAGAUACUGGUAUCUGCCACGCAUAAAUGCAAUUAUCUGAAAUUUGGUCAAACAUCAUAUAGGCCAGUGAUGAAGCAAUCAAAUCAAACAGCAUGCACCAGAUUUAAAUAGAAGUUUCUUUCUUUCGUUUAGAACUCUUUCCCUACACCUUUAUACCGUCUCCUUCCUGAUGCCUGCAGGGCAGGCUGCCUCCCUGCUGCUCCUUUGUCUCUACUUCCCUCAACUUAAUUGCCUUGCUGAGGCUCAACUAAUUCAGUCUGAAGGAGACAAAUUAGUUCCUGCAGGGGCGUUUCUCAAACAAUAAAAUUGUUGCUAAGCAGAGAUUAUCUCUGUUUGCGUCCCAAAUGACAGCCUAUUCCAUAGUGUGCUGCUUUUGACCAGAGCCCUAUGGGCCAUGCCCUGAACAAAAGUAGUGCACUAUAUAGGGAAGGGGUAUUCAACUCUGACCCUACGAGGUCUGGAGCCUGCUGGUUUUCUGUUCUACCUGAUACUUAAUUGCACCCACCUGGUGCUAAAUCAGUCCAUGAUUAGAAGGGGAAAAAUGGAAAAGCAGUGGAACUGGCUUCGAGGUCCAAAGUUGCGUUUGAGGGAUAUAGGGAACAGGGUGCCAUUUGGGAUGAACACUUAGGGUGUUCAUAGGCAACACAACACCCACUGCAAACUAAAUUAAUGACCUGAUAUUUCUUACCAUGAUAAUUAUAUUUUGGGGAAAAAUAAUUGCUGCCAGAUGGUGAAAAGAACAUGAACGCAAAUGAACCACUUGCAAAGAUCUGCAAAGGCUUUUUUCACCAUGAGGAACUGUGACUCUCUGUGAGAACGUUUCAGCUUGGCCCUGCGGUUCUGGAACCAAAUCUGUGGAGAACAUUGCAUAUAGAGCUCUUUAGAACAACCUUUGUGGUUUGCAGUCUCUGUGCCAAUUCUUCUCUGAUGCCAAUACCCGGGUAGGAGUUGAUGAGGAACACACUCUCCAGGACCUCAAUCUGCACAGAGCCCAAGAAGAUAUAUCAAUCAUACAAUCAAAUUGUAUUUUUAUUUUCACAAAAAC